AAAAAGAAGUUCACCAUCAAAUACCGGGUCCCAGUAAACAACAAAUGGUUCGCUGAAAGUACUGUAGGCGAAGGUGACAGCCACAAAAUAAAAUCUCUUCAGUGGGGAUGGCCGAUGCAGAAUUUUAACGCCAAAUUCUUGUCUGUGACAUUUAAGGAAAAAUGGCAUCGUCUUCUGGAAAGAUCGGUCACACAUGCCAAGCAGUUGGAUGGUCUGCAUAACACCCUACUGAAAAUUGAUGCAAGUAAUGUUAACAACACUUCUGUGUAAGUGUUUUUCACCAAAAAAAUUAAAGUACAAUUAUAUGAUUUAGGCAUAAUGAAAGAGAGUCACACAGA